rnacentral:rRNA from 1 species
GGACUACUGGGGUUUCUAAUCCUGUUUGCUCCCCACGCUUUCGCGCCUCAGCGUCAGUUACCGUCCAGAAAGCCGCCUUCGCCACUGGUGUUCCUCCUAAUAUCUACGCAUUUCACCGCUACACUAGGAAUUCCGCUUUCCUCUCCGGCACUCAAGAUUUCCAGUUUCGGGCGCAGCCCCGUGGUUGAGCCACGGUAUUUCACGCCCGACUUAAAAACCCGCCUACACGCCCUUUACACCCAGUAAAUCCGGACAACGCUUGCCACCUACGUAUUACCGCGGCUGCUGGCAC